CCCCCCCCCCGCCUCCCCAGCGGUCACCAUGGGGACGGGAAGGAAGCUGGGUCCCCUGUGCGCCAGGCCUGGAGGGAAGGCUGGGGCCGCUGGUGUCCGUGCUGUCCACACCAGGACCACGAAAACGACGCUAGAGUUGCAAACUUCAAGGCUCCUUCCUCAGCAGCACACAGCCUUGAGGGGAAGACAGGCAGACACAGGAAGAUGUGCUCAGAGUAAAAGGCUUCCUUAAACUGGAAUGCCGGCGAUGUCAUACACCUCGUUCUGCUGCCGCAUGAUUUCCCUGCUUAGCAUUAUCUGUCCCAAGUUUGACUCACCCCCAAUGGCUAGGACUGCAGGCUGCACACCAUGCCUGGCUGAUUAUUUCUGAUAGAAGAAAACCCUCCCAGAAAUGCUGCAGACUGGCCCGGCUGACUGCAGGAACCGGGACUGCACUAAGAUGGAAACGGGAAAGAGCCUCGGUCAGCUGAGCUCAGCUCUAACUCCCAGGAGGAGACCACCUGAUUUUCGUGAAGGACCUAGAUACACCAAGCACCAAGCAGCACCGAAUGGCUCAAGGCUAGGCCCAAACAAAGCAGUCAGACCAGCGCCUCAGACUCCUUCCUUCUAAAGGUCACCUCGAUUCCCGACAGCACUCCUGGAGGCUGGGUCCCUCCUGAAGGUCACGCCUAGCCUGACCCCCUCAUCGGUCCAUGCCCCUCACGGAAAAUCGGGGUUCCAUCUGCACACCGCUGCUCCCCGCGUGUCCAUAUUGGGUGAGCACAAUUCUUCCUACCUGAAAGUGUGAGCCAGCCCUUUAGCCUACCAAGUACACCGUUAUCCUUUUCCUCAAAAAACUUUACUUUGAAAACUUUCCACCUGCAGGGCCGGGGAUUUAGCUCAGUGGCUUCGCCACCUGCUGCGCAAGCGCAAGGAUCUGAGUUCGAUCCCCGGUAUCAAAAAAAAAAAAGGGGGG
rnacentral:lncRNA from 1 species